rnacentral:rRNA from 1 species
GACGAACGCUGGCGGCGUGCUUAACACAUGCAAGUCGAACGGAAAGGCCCUGCUUUUGUGGGGUGCUCGAGUGGCGAACGGGUGAGUAACACGUGAGUAACCUGCCCUUGACUUUGGGAUAACUUCAGGAAACUGGGGCUAAUACCGGAUAGGAGCUCCUGCUGCAUGGUGGGGGUUGGAAAGUUUCGGCGGUUGGGGAUGGACUCGCGGCUUAUCAGCUUGUUGGUGGGGUAGUGGCUUACCAAGGCUUUGACGGGUAGCCGGCCUGAGAGGGUGACCGGCCACAUGGGGACUGAGAUACGGCCCAGACUCCUACGGGAGGCAGCAGUGGGGAAUAUGGCACAAUGGGCGGAAGCCUGAUGCAGCAACGCCGCGUGCGGGAUGACGGCCUUCGGGUUGUAAACCGCUUUCGCCUGUGACGAAGCGGGAGUGACGGUAAUGGGUAAAGAAGCACCGGCUAACUACGUG